CGAAAUCAUAGAUAUUCUUGGGUUCAUCCGGAAAAUCUAGAGUUGUCUGUCAACUUUUCUCUGUUGUUGAUCAUUGAUGCUAAUACAAGACCAAGAGUUAUUCGGAUACCAUAUUAUAGGUUGUGAGUAUCACAUCCACAAUGCAAACUUACUCGUUAUAUUCGAUAUCUUAGUAAGGAGAGACAUAGCAACUAAUAUGGGCUUAGGUACCUUAAAGCAGGGAAUGUUAAAAAGGGGAGCGUGCCGUCAGUGUUUGGUUCAGAUUGGAAAUUUAGGCUUUUAAUGCAUGAAAACAUGUUUUCCAUGCACGUCAAUAUUUGUUACUAAUGUGUAACGAAGACAUGUGUUCCUAUGCUUGGUUUUGGAGUGAAAACGGUUUUAUGCGUCAUGGCACUAUGCUCAUUCAUUCAUCGAAACGGUGGUCUUACCAGCAGAAGGGGAAGUCAUGCGCGAGGAAUAGAUGAUCGAGGGUGCCUACAAUACAGUUGUGAGGCCAUGCGUGUUGCCUAGAUAAUAACCCUAGAGGGGGGUGAAUAGGGUUGUUGACAAAACUUUUUUAAUAAAAUAUAACUGAAUAAGAGUUAGAAUAAUUAAGAAGAGUGAUAAUGUAAAGAAUAUAAAUUGAGUACAAUAAUAAAGAGAUAGGGAGAUAGAUGCAAACUCAACGAUUAUAGUGGUUCGGUUCUACCUGACUUACGUCCAUCCCAAGCCACACCACUUGAAUUCAAUUUCCAAUCCAAAUUCUCCCCUUUUGUUUUUGUUUUGUUUUUCCAACGGGUGGAGUUCAAAACAUUUACUGUCAAGAGCAAACCACUCUUCUUCACAAGGUGGAAAAUCCCCUCACCACCUCACAAGGUCACACCAACGACUUUGAUACAAUCAACUGUGAUCGAAUUUGAGAUUUCUCUGCAAAAUAAACAAUUCUCCUUUUUGAGAAGGAUGCAAAUAAAGAUGUUUACAAUGAUCUCUCUCAUAGAACUCUGUAUGAUCAAAACUUGAAAGGCUCAAAGGAAAUUGAAAGAAGUAUGCUUGAGUUCUAAACUUAUUUUUCUUACUUUGAUUUGCUUUAUAAAAUGAGAGGUAAGGAUAUGUAUUUAUAAAUCUUAGCAGAAUAUAAAACCGUUGGAGGGGAAUUAAAAUUUGUAGGCCAAUUUUUCCAAUUUGAAAUCACAUUUUCAAAGUUCGAAAAUGUGGUUAUCCAAAUUUUAAAAGUUGCCAACUACAUUUUCAAAGUUAGAAAUUAUUUUGACCAAUUUUUUCGUUGCAACUACAUUUUCAAAGUCAAAAAAUUGUGCUAUCCAAACUUUUUCAAAGUAAAAAUGUGCUACCCCCAAUUUUUUAAAAUUGGAAUCAAAUUUUCAAAGUCAGAAAUUAUUGCUAAGCAUAUUUUUCAAACUUGGAAUCAAAUUUUCAGUCAGAAAAUUGUUGCUAGAUUUUUUUUAACUUACCAUCACAUUUUCAAGUUAAAAUUAGUUGCUAGCUAAUUUUUCAAAUUAAAUCAAAUUUUUAAAAAUCAAAAAUUCUUGCUUGCACAUGUUUCAAAAAUUAUAAGUUAAAUUUUCAAAGACAAGAAUUAUACUAGCACAUUUGUAAGAAACUCUAGUUUUUAAUGCACUUUUGUAUUUUUAAAAUGCAUGAAGGAUAUUAAGGUAUUUAGAGCAUCACGAAUUUAACCAUACAAGACUUUACAAAAAUACCCUAAAUGAAAAUUUUUCUUCUUGAGAUAUUCAGUGCUUAAGGCGUCUGCUUUGUAGUCAAAUAUCUUCGAUUAUUUCUGCUCCUGAGAAUAUGUGCUUGAAUUAUUUCUUGCAAACAUAUCAUACUUGAAUUAAAUACAUUAGAGCAAUAAGAUAGAAUUUGUUAUCAUCAAAAUAUUUGCAACAUCUCGGAUGACGCCAUAGGGUAACAAUCUCCCCCUUUUUGAUGAUGACAAAUUAUGAUAUAAAAAUUUUAAGCACAAUCUGUAGUUAACAAAUUACUGAUCAAAGCAUAUAUUAAAUUACUGAGAAUAAUGCAUUUUUAUUAUUAAGCUCAGUAUAUGGAACUAACAAAAUUUUUGUAGAUCCUUAUUUCUCCCCCUUUUGACAUCAACAAAAAGGUAUAUGUAUAAGCUCCCCCUGCGAAGAUGCUCCCCCCUUUCAUGACACUAGAAGUAUAACGUAACAAUAAUAUCAGAUAUGAAAGCUUGCUAAAUAUGAACAUUGAAUUCAGUGAAGGUGAGAACAAACAAUCAUAAAAUAUAUGAGUUAAACACCUAUAUCAUGUGCUUUCUCUCUUCUAUCACAGAUUAUUAUCGAUGGAACACAAAAUCCUGAGGACAAGAGAGAAGAUACUUCAUCUUAGUAACAGAUCAAGAAUAAUCUUGCUCUAGAUGCCAUGAUUAAGAAUAGUCUUUGCUUCUUGUUGUUUGUGAAUCAAGUUUUUUUUGUGUAUUGCACUUUUCUUACUGGUUUUGGUAGGAAUUUAGACUGGUAUGAACGUAGUUGUGCUGCGUGGCAUCUUUCUUCAUAAGAGUGAUGAUAGGCUGAAACAAGAUAGAAGAUAAGAUUUGCUUCAGAGGAUGAAGAAUGCAGAAACAGACAUAUGUGCUUGGCAAGAGAAAAGACAAAGUGAAGUAUAUAGAUUGAUAUUUGACAUGAAUAGGUGCGAGAUGACCUAUGUGAUGACGCCUGUAAUCUUGCCCAAAGAAAAAAUUAUCCAAUAAAAAAUAAACAAAAUAUGCAAUUUAUAAGAUUUGGUCAGGUCAGUGGUAGGUGCGGCUGUGCUCAGAAGGAUGUGACUUUAGGCCAUAUUUGUCCGAAAAAAAUCUCUUUCCUAGAUCCCGAAAUAUUCUCUCUUCUUUCUCCCUUCCGGUUCUUUGAAGAAGAUUCAAGUUUCUUUCCUUAGUUUUCAAAAAUGACGUAUCUUCUUCUCAAAAUAAUUUUGAUGCUAAAUGUUGUGCCUAAUUUGUCAUAAACAGAAAUUCUGUGUCAUCAUCUAUCUCAACAAGGUCCUCUCAUGACUAUGGCUCUGUGAUGCUGGAUGAGCAGUUGCUGCACUAGAGUUCUUUAACGUUCCAACAAGAUGAAAAUUAUAUUGGCGAAAUCUGGACUGAAUGCCGAGCCAUUAAUGACUCAAUGACACUCAUUUAUUCAUUGUGCUUCUCUGUUCAAUAUGGCUCGACGUCUGCACGUUCGAGGGCGAAUGAAGUUCAAGAGCCUAAGGACUCAAGUUUUGAUUUGCCAAACUAAGGAAUAGAGGGUCUUCAGUAUGAGAAUAAAGGCUGAAGAAACUUGUAAUUCAUAUGCUAAUGCCUGUGAAAGAAAUAUUCAGAACUAGAGAUGAACACUAACCGUCUUUGGGAGGCAACGGAGAGUCUCUUGCUUGAAGUCCAGAAAAAAUCUUAAGAUUUCUCGCCCAGAAGCUUAACAUGUAUUAUAUUCAGAAAAGUAAUUAUUUUAAAAAUAAUAACUGAAGUUUAUGGCAAUCUAUGUGGUCUAACACAUACCAGUUCUAGACGAAUGGUGCAAACGUCAAUCCUCUUGGAGAGUGGUUUUGGGUGAAUAUGUCAGCCCAUUAAAAUCAGAGCUUAUAAACUCUCAGUUCUACAUCUCUUUUUUGAAACAUGGCCACGAAUAAAAUGAUGUCUCAAUUUCAAUAUGUUUUGUUUAUGAGUGAAGAUAGAUUUUUAAAUAUUUAUAGCACUAGUUUAUCGGCAUCUAUAGGUAUGUGAUCAACUUUUAUUUAAAAUCUUCAAAUUGUUGCUUCAUAUAAGACUCUGUGGAGCACACCCUGCCUGUCAGCAAUAUAUUCUGCAUUUCAGCAGGGAAAAGAGCAACUGAAUUUGCUGCUUGCUAAAACCAAGAAACCAGUGAGUGUCUAGAAAUUGACACGUACCCGCUUUUACUCUUGCUAUCAAGUUUUGCAACCCCAAAAUCUGCAUACUGAAAACUUACUGAAUCCAAUGAAGGUGAAUUUAGGAUACCAUAAACCUAGAUCUAUUGUGGCCAAGUAAAUAUCGAAAAAUUCUUUUCACGGCAUAAAUGUGAUUCUUUUGGACCAUUAUUGAAAUCUAGCACAUAAGCAACACUAAACAUUAUAUGUUCCUACUGGCCGUCAAAUAUAGUAACUACCAAUCAUUCUCUGUAUUGUUUUAAUGUCAACAUUUUUUCCCAUUUUCAUCUUUAUCGAGUCUAGUUGUUGAAUUCAUUGGGUUGCUAAAUUUUUAAAUUUUCUAUCGCCAAAUUUCUUGAGAAGAUCUUUUAUAUAUUUAGAAUUGGUUGAUAAAAGAUUCCAUUUUUAGUUUUCUUAAUUUGAAACCCAAGAAGAAUCUUAGUUCACCCAUCAUGCUCAUUUCAAAUUCUUUUUUCAUAAUUUUUUUUGAAAAUUCACUCCACAUAUUCUCAUUUGUUGAUCCAAAAAUGAUAUCAUCAACAUAUAUUUGCCCAAUAAGUAAUCUUCAUUUUUAUUUUGGUAAAUAAGGUAGUGUCAAUUUUUUCUCUUGUAAAAUAUUUUUCUAAAAGAAUUCACUAUAUUCUUUCAUACCAUGCUCUUGGGGCCUUUUAUUUCAAGCCAUCAAGGCUUUGGUCAUUUGAAAACAAUGAUUUGAAAUCGUGAUUUUCAAACCGGGUGGUUGUCUCAACAUAAAUUUUUUCAGAAAUGAACAGCAUUUAAAAAUGUACUUUUGACAUCUAUUUGAAAUAAUUAAAAUCUUUAUAGGAAGAAAAUGCUAAUAGCUUUCUUAUAUCUUCAAGUCGAGCUACGGGGUCAAAGGUUUCUCAUAGUCAAUUCCUUUUCUUGGUUGAAACCUGGGCUAGUAAUCUAGCUUUAUUCUAAUGAUAUGCCAUUUAUCAUCAUUUUUUAUUAACGAAAAAUUCAAUUUUGUUUCAAUAACUAACUGAUGUGUAGGUCUGAACCAAUGUCCAAACAUUGUUCCUCUCAAUUGGUUAAGCUCGUUUCUUCUAUGGCAUUAACCAAAACUCAUCAGUUUCAACUUCUUCAAUAUUCUUUUCUUGGCUCAAUUUCUGAACAAAAGUCAUGUUAUUAACACAUUUCUAAGUGAAGAACCGUGUAUUACAACACCUUGGUGAGGGGUCACCUAGAAUUUGAUCAUAGGGUGACUUUAACCAAUUCUCCAAGAUGUAGGAAAUUGGUUGAUCUUGUUCAAAGAUGAGAGGCAUUUUUCAUACUUUUCUUUUUUAUUAGAGUCUUGAGAGAUUUGAUUUUGAAUUAAGAUUAUUAUCCAAAAAAAAAAUUAUUUUCCUGUAGCAUUAAUAUCCUCAUCAUUCUCCAUCAAUGUCUUAGAUUUGAAAGAAUCAACUUCAUCAAGUGCAACAUGUAUAGACUCUUCAAUAGUUAAUAGUUUUUUUUGUUAGAGACUCUAAUAAGCUUUGCUAUAGUAGAAUAUCCAAGAAAUAUUCCUUUAUCAGAUUUAGCAUCCAAUUUACACCCAAAUUAUCUUUGUCAUUUAGAAAUAAAAAUUUAACAACCAAAUACUUUGAAUAACCAUAUUAGGUGUCUUGCCUUUCCAAAGCUCGUAAUGAUCUUUUUCAAGUUUUGUCUCAUGAUACCGAUUUUUAAUAUAACAACUGUAUUUACAGCGUCAUUUCAGCCCAAAAAUACUUAGGUAAUUAUGUUCCUUUAACAGGUUUAACCUAUUCUAGCCAUUUUUUGAAGGAUCCUUUUUAAACGUUCAACAACUCAAGUUUUGUUGAGUGUUCUAGGUGCAGAGAAAGUUGUGUAAAAAAUCGUGAUCAUCGCAAUAAUUUUUCAAUAAUCUUGAUUAUCAAACUCUCUACAUCAUCACUACAAUAUUGGUGAUAGUGCAACCUAUUGUUAUUUUGUCCUUUUUUAUAAUUUUUGCAAAUGCAAUGUGUUCUCAUUUUUUUGUGAGUAGGAAUAAUACCAUGUAAAACGUGAAAAAUUAUCAACAAUUUACAAAUGCGUAAAUUGUCCACCAAGACUAGCAACCCUACUGGGACCAAACAAAUCCAUAUGAUCCAUAUGGCAAGUCAGUUGAAGUGGUUAGAGUGGAAUUAUUUCUUUUUUAAAAAGAUUUUUGGGUGUUGCUUCCCUAUUGACUGCAUCACAAAUUUUAUCUUUAACAACUUGAUUUUAUAGGUAACCUUAAACUAAAUCUGCUUGUUCAAUUUAAUGAGUAAAUUUCAUGCUAGCAUGUCCAAGCUUCAUGGCCAUAACCAGCUCUUUUCAUUUAUACCCAAGACAUUUAAACCUCUUGACUACUAACUAUCAAAGUCAAAGGUGUAUACUAUUUCCAUAAUUUAGAUGUAAAUAAUACUAUUUUAUCAUUAAAGCAUGGCUUAUUAUGGCAUUUUUUUAUCAAAUAUAACCUUGAGUUUUUAUCACAUUUGGGCUUAUACUUAUUAGAUUUAUGUUUAAGGCCAUUAACAAGUAAAAUUUUUCAAUUCAAGAUGAAGAGCAAUUUUUAAUAUUUUCAACCCCAAUAAUUUUAAUUACCUCUUGAUUAUCACCAAUUUGCACUCCUCCAUCCUUGGGUGUGAAGAUGCAAGUUUGGACUUGUCCCCGUCAUAUGUCUUGAUCAAGCGUUGUCCAUGAACAUUUGUUCGAGCUCCAAUAUACUUGAGGCAUACCGACAAAUAAUCAACUAACUCUUUUUGGUACCCAAAUUUCUUGGGUCCCAUGAUGUCAGUUUUAGUACAUUAUGUUAUUGGUCUCAAACACCUUACGAGUGUUUCCAAUGGUAUAAUUUUAGGAUUUAUCCCUUAUAGUUUUAUCUUGUAAAAAAUUUUUUUUAUAAGGACGAGCAUCUAUAAUAUGUCAUUUUUCCAAAUGACUUGCAAGUAGGAAUGAAGAAUUUAAAUCAUUAUUCUUAUCAAAAAAGUUUUUAUAAAAUUUUUGUUUAUUCUUAGGGGUAUAUCACAAACCUUCCUUAUUGAAGACACACCUUGGUCUCCAAGUAGCAUAUCUUAAAUUGUUUUUUGCCAUUUAGAUAAUUUUGCUAAAAUUUUUGUUUAAGUCUUUAAUGGUUUCUUUAGCUACUAUUUCUUCUUCUAGAUUCAUUGAUACUUAAUCUUGGAGGUCAGGAUUAUUGUUAUUUUUGAGUAAAUUUUCAUUUUUAUUUUCAAAGUAGCUUAUCUCAAUUCAAAAUUCAGUUUUUUCUUCUCUUCUUUUUAAGAAUUAAUGUAUUUCGCAAUGUAAUUUUAUAGUGUUUUCACAUAACUCAUCAUAGACAAUCUUGAAGUCUUCAAUAAGAGAUAAUUCAUUCUCAGUAUCAAAAUCCUUUCCUCCAUCUCCUUUUGCCAUGAGGCAAAAUUAGCCAUCUCAUUUUCGCUCUCCUCUUGUUCUGAAUUCGCUUCCUUCUGAAUCAUACCAUUCCCUUUAGCCUUUUUCUUUUGAAUUCAUUUCCAUUUCCUUCCUUCUUAAGGCGAGGGCAAUCUGAUUUAUGUGUCCAGGCUUUGUGGCACUCGAGGCAAUUGGAGGUCUUUUUGCUAUUGGUUUCGCCGUAAGGAGUUCUUUUUUUAAAUAUUAUACUUCUUAUUAAAUAUUUUCUCGCUUCUCAUAAACCUUUUAAUCGUUUUGGUGAGAAGUGCCAUUUUUUUAAUCUCGUCAAAAAAAAAUUUUUUUUCCUCUUCUUCUUCCUCACUUCUUGAUAAGGAUUGAGUGCAGACUUCUUUUGGCUUUACUUACUUCUUCCCUUCUCGCCCUUCACAUGAUCUUAUGUCAUGAGUGAACACCAAAAUUUAUCAGACUCAUCGUUGUGAGUUCUUUACCUUCUCAUAGCUGUGACUUUUUGCAUCCCAAUUUCUUGGCAAGGAACCUAAGAAUUUUUUCUCAAUUUUUCAUAUUAGUAAUCACAUUUGCCAAAGAUUUUAAUGAAUGUUACAUAUAGUAAAUCUAGAGUAAACAUUCAGAAUAGAUUUUUUCAAUUUCAUACAAAUAAUUCAUACUCAUGAACUACCCUACUGUUUUAGAUUCGUUAAGAUUCUUUUAACUUGAUUUGUACCUUCAUAGUCACUUCAAGUUUAUCCCAUAAUUUUCUUCUUCUUUGCUUAUAUCGGUUCCGCUGUCGAGAUUCGAUUAAAUUCAUUUGCAUCUAAGCUCAAUAUAACAUAUUUCUUACUUUAGCAUUAAUUUGAAUUAAGCGUGAAUCCAUCUUUAUCCGCUUCUUUCUCUCAGUUUUAAUGACUUUUGGUUUUAUCAACUAUUUUUGUGGGAAUAUAAGGACCAUGCCCUAAUAAUUUUCCACGCCUCAUAAUUCCAUGCUGAAUGUAAAUUCUCAUCCAUUCUUCCAAUAGGUUAUAAGGAUUCCCAUUAAUAAAAGAAGCCUAGUUGAGGAGUGCCCUUCGGCGAAGAUUAUUCUAUUUGUGUUUUGCCAGGUCGUCGCUCUUUGGAUUUACGCCAAAUAUAUGAUGUGUAGGCUCUGAUACCAAUGGGUGCCCCGAUACUCAACACCCUAGAGGGGGGUACAGGGUUUGUUGACAAACUUUUCUUUUAAUAAAAAUUAUACUGAAUUAAUAGUUUUAGAAUAUUAAGAACAGUAUAAUUUAAGAAUAUAAAUGAGUACAAUACUAAGGAUAGGGAGAGAGAUUCAAACUCGGCGUUUAUGUGGUUCGUCUAUACCUGACUCGAUUCACUCCCAAAAGUGAAAUUCUUUACCCGCAGAGUGUACUGGUCGCUAAUAGUAUAAACCGUAAUCCGGUAAUCGUUCUCGUCCAAGGACCUUAUAGCUAAUAGAGUGUGCACUCAACUCACACUAUAACUCACUCGGAUAAACUAGAAGUUUAUAUGAAUUGAAUCUAAAAAGAAUAAAAAGUAAAAAGUCUUUCUUUGUGAUUGAUUGACUUUAGUAAUCUAAAUUAAGCAAUCAAUACAAAAAAAAUAAUUUAACGUAAUUAAAAACAAUUUAAAAUCAAUUGAUCCAAUCAUUAAGGUUUUUCGAAAUCCCAUGGAGGCUUUCUUAUACCUCAAAUCCUCCUUCGACACAUUCAUGGGUCUCGAUUCGGAAGAUUAGUUUUAAAAAUAUUUGUUCUUUCAUGGAAGUAAAAGAAGAACUACUUCAUUCGUGCAACAAUAGAUUAACCCCACUCACGCAUAAACGUUACAAGGCAACGUAAUAUCGUGAGCCGCAAUUCCUAUAUAAACGUUUUUAGCAAUAAUCAUGAUUGGUAUAAAUCAAGGCCGUGCAUCAUCGAUUCGCAUCACAAAUAUGUUAUCGGCACAUAAUAGGACCCAAGUUUUUCAAAAGUAAUAAAUCUAGUUGUUUUAAUCAUGGUAGUGCAUCAUCGAUCCGAAUAACCAUACUGUUUAUCGAACUAAUAGACGUCCCAUUUUUUCCGAAAUUAUCAAGUUUCUAAAACGAAAAUAAAUAAGAAGGAGAAUAUCAAUAAAAUAAAGCGGUGAUAUUAAAAACCUCCAUUGUUCAUCCCUUGACCCCAAUCAACUUUCAACAAUCAAUUCCAAGUCAGAGAACUAGCGCAAGCAUGGUUAGAAAAGCAUGUAAAUACAAAUUAAAUACAUUCGGUAUAAAAAAUUGACUUGAAUUGAUAAAUAAUUACACCUUUUCAAAAUAAAAUAAAACCUAAUAAUAAUAUAAACCUAACUAAAAAACUUAAAGAAACCCUAAUCUAAAACAUCUCUAAAGCAUCUCUUUUAAGCAUAUCUCGUUCAUAAGAUUAUAAGAAAGUCUUUAUACGCAUACAAAUUAGAAUCCUAAUAGGAUUAGGAAAUUUCCCAAACUUCUUAAUCUGGUCCGGACGUUGUUUCUCUAUUUUGACCACUUUUGAGAUCGAAUCAGGCAUACCUAUUGAGAUAAAAUUGUAACCCUUUAAAUCUUCUUUCCAAGCGUUGGAAAAGUUCAUACUCAUCGAUAUCGGAGUAGAAACGUUAUGGCAAAAUACCAGACUGAAUUCCUGCUAGGCGUUCGAACUCUUGAUCCUUUGCUUUUCUGGCGUCAAACGGUCCUUCACAAUUUCUUAAUUUUCCUCUUGGCUGUUCGAACGGCCCAAUUUCUUCUUUAGUUUGGCGUUCGAACUCUUAGGCAAAAUCUCACUUCAAGUUUCGCACUUUUCGAACCUGUAAAGGAGGUCGAACGUUCUUCAGCAUUUUUCUUCUUGGCGCUCGCAUGCCCAAAACUUGCUUGAUCCAACGUUCGAACGGUCAGUGCAAAAUUUAAACUUUUCUUCCCCAGCGGUUCCAACGCUCUAAUCCUUCUUGCUUUUGUUCGAACGCCUAGUGCAUUUUUUUCCUCUUUACCUUUUUCGGCUUCUUUGCUUACUUUAUUUGUGUGGUGGGGGGGGGUUUUUUUUUUAAUCAUUCUUACCUGCACUGGUUUUUCAACACGACUAUAAGUACAACAUACGAUCAAAUUAAAUCUUAAACUAAUUAGGGCAACUUAGGUCGAUUAAACCGGCGUUUGCACUACAAUGAUGCAGGCCAAUCACACCCCCCACUAACUUUUUGCUAGUCCCUAGCAAAAUUAAACAAAAGCAAAGAUAACUCUCCUUCGUAAGAUUCCCCGAAUGCUUUUAGCGUAUGCAUCAAGCCUUUAAACCCCUAGGUUUUCCCUAUGGACGAGUGGUGUCUCGUGAGAGUUUCAGUAAUGAUACCACAAACAUCACAUUAUGCAAUGUAUCAAAAAUAAUUUAACAACUUUCUCAACAAAAUACAAGACAAGGCAAUUUCAAAUCAACCCAAUCAUGCUAAGCAUCUACAAACCGUCAGUGCAAAAAACGAGAUAUUCAGUUGUAAAUGGUAGAGUCGUUUUCCUCCAUUUUAACAUUAUGCACCCAUAACAAAAAAACAAAAAACCUACAGUCUCGAUUCAAAACUCAAAGUAAUACACUCUCACAAUUAGAACACAAAAGUUUCUUCAAGGAUGCUAAUAUAUGAGUAAGUGUAAAAAUAAUGCAAAAAGAGUUAAUCCCAAUUUCAAAACCGCAAAGAUGUAAAGUGAUCGACUUGGCAUGCUUCAUGAAAGAAUGUUCCCAUAAUGCGCACCAGUGUAAAAUUUUGACUUGAUGACUUUUACAUUGCAAGAAUUCGAAUUAUGCAAUUCCGGAUAUUAAGGCGCCUAUGAGUGAAAGGAUAGUCAAGAAACGUAGAGAGAAUCAAAGCGGGUAAUAGAUGUCUCAACAAUGCAUUGCAACUACACAUGCCAACUUAAUAAAGCAUUACCUUCAAACUCCUCUUUUUUCCACUGUUUUCAUUUUGAAAACGUCUUUUUAUUUCUUUUUUUUUCUUUUGUUUUUUCUCAACCUCUCAAAAAUUACCUCCAAAAAAUGCGCUUUUUUGAGAUCUUUUAAUGCAAAUUACCGAAAAGAAUAACAGGAAAAGAGAUAUAAUUAAUUGCAGUAAUUGUAACAAAAUUCAGAAUUGAUGUAAAUCAUGUAAAAGGCAUGUCAAAAAAUUCUAACUCAUUACACUAAAAUGUAAACCAAAUUCAAAAAUAUUGAAGCUAUUCAAACUAAUGAAGUUCAAUAAAUUUCUGAGUAAAGGUAAAAUCGCUCACAAAAACGAUUUUUAUGGUUCUAAAGCUCACAAGGUAUAAAUCUCCACUUUAUGGAUGCGUCAUGUAGAACUUUUUAUAACAGUUUCACUUCGAAAAACACGACUGUGCGUAGGAUAGUAUUGUAUUGUGAUUCUCUCCUUAUAUAGACAAACAAUAAAGUAUUAAGCAUGCAAGAUUGAUUGACAUAAUAAUCCGCUUAAAAUAUCAUAUUAUGCUGGAAGUCCAUAAUUGUUUCAACUACCUUUGAAAACAAAAACACAAUUGAUUCAGUUAUGGUCCCAAAAACUAGAUUCUCACACAUCCACAACUUACGAAAAUCAGAUUAUAAAUAUGGAGCGUGAGGAGUCACAAUUGAAAAAAUUCAAAGAAACCAGAAAACAAACUGCUUUGGAUGACAUUGAAUUAGAAAAUAAACCUCUUCUUUCAACAUCCAAAACAUGUUAACAAUAUAUUUUUUUUAAAUGUUUUCAAAAUUUUUUUUUUAAUUUUUUCUAAAUUUUUUUUUUUUUAUGAAAAAUUAAAACUUCUAAAAAAUUACGGAAGUACUCCCUCCAACUAGAGAUGAGUAUUCUACGAAAGGCGGAAAAUAAAGUAAAAAAUAAAAAUAAAUCAUAAAAAUAUAAAUAAAAAUUAAAAAUAAAAUAACACAAGGGGAAAAAAAGUAAAAGGGUAAGACAACACCCUUCUCCCCCCAACUAGAGUUAAAUUGAUGAACACAGAACCAACUUAGAUCUUUUAACAAAAAUUGUAUCCGACCCUACCAGAUGAUCAGGUACUUAAAAAUUUUUUAUUUUUGAGGGCGCCUUGAAUAUUGUUUUCUACUUUAUCCCUCUUUAACAGUGUAGGUUUUGAGAUUUUUAUUGACUACCGGAAAUGAGAUAAGGAUCCUCAACCCUCCUUAAAUAUUUGUCACCAAACAACCAAGAAAAUCAAUUAACAACCCUACGUCAAUGGAAGGCUUGUUGGACAAUCAAACAACUCAACUUUUCCUCCCAUUGAUAAUUCUUUAGGUGGUGUGACUAAAAUCUUGUGCAAGGUUUCGUGGUCGCUCGCUGAUUUAUUCUUAACCAUACCUCAAAACCACAGAGUUCCUACACUAUGCGCAUCACACACCUCACCAUUAUCUUGUCUUUAUAAACAAUCUCCUAACCUCCUCUUUUUUCUCUCUUCCAUCUCGAUAUCUAACUCCCUAAACUCAUCCUCCCUCAAAUUUAACUCCGUUUUGAUUCCACAUUUUAAUUAAUUUCCUUUCCACUUGUUCUUUCAAUGUGCUUCACCAAGGCCUAAUAUUUUGUUGGGGUGGGUGGAUGAAUUGCUCUUGAGUUUGUUGUGCAAUUAUUAAAUUCUCAGUACAGAGUUCAUCUUUCCUAAUUGUUUCUCCAAUAAUUUUGUAACCUUAGUACGCAACUCAUUUCCUCAUUCCUCCCAUGUGGAGAUUGGUAUUGUGUAGUGUUAUUAUAUUUUUGCACAAACGCUGAAAACUCUUAGCCUUAGGACAUUCAGUAAAAAUAUGGUAAUAACUAGAAACAUAUGGGACAUGAACUCAUUUGUAUACAAAUUUCCUGAGAUCCUUGGUAGCAUUGACAUCGUUUUGAAAUAACCUGAAAACUCAAUGAACUGAGGACAUUCGUCACAAGGUGGUUAUGACUAGCAUUAUGACAUGGCUCAUUGUAUCCUAUCCUUGAGAUCCUUGAGUGACAUUAAUAUAUUUUCGACUAAACUCGGGAAACUCCAUGAGCCCUCGGACAUUCAGUCACGAUGUGGCUAUGACUUGAAACAUAAAGGACAGACUCAUCGUUACAAAUUCCUCAAACCAAGGGGGUGGAGGUGAAUCGUGGAAGAGUUUUUCUAGCAUCCCAUCCGUAUUAGGCUGUGCUACUUCAAAUUAUUUUUCACAAAGGCCCAUCAUUUUUUUUUUAAACCAAAUAAUAAAAAAAUAAAUGAAAGGAAUUACCCAUGGCCUAAGCCGAAGAUUCCUCCGUCGGGGUAGAUUGAUGGAAAUCAAUUCACCGAAUUGCUAUUCACCCAAAUCCUUUCUAGUGCCCUCCCUCGCUUCGUGCCUUUUGUCCCCGGCAACGGCGCCAAAACUUGAUCGCUCGUCCAAAGUGACUCUUUACUGCAAUGUACGGGUCGCGAAAUAGUAAUAAAAAUCGAUAAUAAUCCGGUAUCGUUUCUCUCUCAAGGACCUAGCUAAAUAUAAGCUGUAGCACUCAACUCCACACUAUACUAACUCGGAUAAACUAGAAGUUAUAUGAAUUGAUCUAAAAAAGAAUAAGUAAAAUUCUUUCUUUAUGGAUUUGAUUGACUUUACAGUAAUCUAAAUUAAGCAAGUAUAAAAAAAUAAUUUAAAAUUAAUUAAAAACACCUCAAAAUCAAUGAUCCAAUCAAUUAGGUUUUUCGGAAUCCAAUGGAAUGCUUCUUGUAAAACUCAAAUCCUUCGCCACAUCGUGGGUCUCGGCUUCGAAGAUUUAGGUUUUUUUAAAAAGAAAUUGUUCUUCAAUCUUUAAUUCGUUGCAACAAUAUAAUGAACGCCACCUCACGCAUAACGUUACAAGGCAACGGAUAUACUGACCAGCAAUUCAUAUAUAAAACGUUACUUAGAAUAAAUCUGAAUUGUUCUAAUCAAGCUGUGCUCAUCGUUUCGCAUUACAAAUAUGUUAUCUGAACAUAAUAAGGACUCCUCAAGUUUUCAAAAGUAAAAUAAAUCUGGUUGUUUUAAUCAUGAUAGUGGCAUCAUCGAUUCAAUAACAAGAAUGUUUUCGAACAUAAUAGGACGUUCAGUUUUCGAAAGUACUAAAAUGAAAAAGAAGAAUAAGUAUAAAAUCAAGACAUAAAUCGGUGGUAUUAAAAUACCUCCAUGUUCAUCCUUGACCCCAUCAAUCUUCUCACAACAAUUCAAGUUGGGAGAACUAGCCAAGCAUGGCUAAGAAAAACAUAAUAAUAAAAAUUAAAGACAUUACAGUAUGAAAAUUGACUUGAAAUUGAUAAAUGAUUAAAACUUUUACAAUCAAUAAAAUAAAACCUCAGAAUAAUAUAAAACCUAACUAAAAAACUAAAAGAAAUCCUAUCUAAAGCAUCUCUAAAGCCUCUCUUUUUAGCAUAUCCCAUUCAUAAGAGAUAAGAAAUUAUUUUACAGGAACCAAAUUUAGAAUCCUAAUAGGAUUAGGAAACUUCAAAACUCCCCAAUUCUGUCCCGGACGUUAUUUCUCUAUUUUGACCCUUUUGAGAUCGAAUCAGGCAAACCUAUUAGAGAUAAAAUUAUAAGCCCUUUAAUCUUCUUUCCCAACGCGUUAAAAGUCAACCUCAAUCGGAUACGGAGUAAAACGUUAUGGCCAAAAUAACCGAGACUUGGAUUCCUGCUAGCGUUCGAACUCUUGAUGCCUUUGCUUUUCUGGCGUUCGAACGGUCUUCACAAUUUCUGAACUUUUCCUCUUGCUUUCUGAACGCCCAAUCCUUCUUUAGUUUGGCGUUCGAACUCUUAAGAAAAUCUCAACUUCAAGUCUCGCACUUUUCGACUUAGGGAGUUCGAAUAGUCUUUCAUCAUCUUCAGCAUUUUUUUUUCUUGGCACUUGAACGCUCCGCAAAACUUGCCUUGUCCAUGUGUUUUCGAACGGUCAGAUGCAAAUUGAACUUUCUUCUUCCCACGUUCGAACGCUCAAAUCCGCCUUCUUGCUCCUGGUGUUCGAACGCCUAGGGCAAAUUUUUCCUCUUUGCCCUUUUUCGCUCUUUUCUUUCCUUUUUAAUCAUCCAUCCCCGUUAAGCCUGCAAUGGUUCUCAGACAGAGGGCGACUACUAUAAGUACACAUACGAUAAAAUUAAAUAGUUAAACUAAAGUUAGGGCCACCUUCGGCGAUUACACGGCGUGUGAAUACAAUUAUGCAGUCCAAUCAACCUACGUCCACUCCCCAAGCACACCACAUGAGAUUUCAAUUCACUAAUCAACAACUCCUUUACGGGGUUGGAGUUUCAAACCUCUACACGUCAGAGCAACACCAUAUCUUCACAAGGUAGAAAAUUCCCCUUCAAACCUCACAAGAGUCACACCAACCCUCUUGAUACCACAACUGUUGAUCGGAUUUGGAUUUCUCUCACAAUAAGCAAUUUUUCGUGUUGGAAGGAUUUCAACAAAAUGAAGCUUUUUACAAUGACUCUCUCAUAGAACUCUUGUAUGAAGCAAAACUUGAAAGGUCAAAGGAAAUUGAAGAGUAUGCCUUUGAGUUUAAUUGUUUUUUCAUUGAUGGCUUUAUAAAAUGAGAGGUUAAGGUAUGUAGUUAUAGGCCUUAGAAGAAUAUAAUGUUGGAGGACCUCCUUUGAAAUUUGCUAGCCAAUUUUUAAUUUUGAAAUCACAUUUUCAACGACAGAAAUUGUGCUAUCAAAAUUUCAACAAGUUCAACUAUUAAGUUUUUUUUUUUUUCCCCACAAAGUCGAAAUUAUUUUACCAAUUUUUCAAAGUUGCAAUCACAUUUUCAAAGUCAGAAAGUGUUGCUAUCCAAAUUUUCCAAAUGGAAAUCAAAUUUUAAAGUCAGAAAUUGUUGCUAACACUUUUCAAAUUGGAAUAAAUUUUUUUAAGAGGUAGCAAUUGUUGCUAGCUAUUUUUCAAACUGGGAAUUAAUCUUUCAAAGUCAGAAAUUGUUGGCUAGCAUAUUUUUCAAAAUUGCAAUCACAGUUUCAAAGUUGACAAAAAAUUAUUGCUAGCUAAUUUUUCAAACAACUUGAAAUCAAAUUUUCAAAAUCAACAUUAUUGCUUGCCCAUUUUUCAAAUAUUAUAAUUAAAAUUUCAAUAUAAGACAGUGCUUAGCACAUUUUUAAGAACUCUAAGUUUUAAUGAACACUUUUGUAUUUUUAAAAGCUAUUGAAGGAUAUUAAGGUCAUUUUAGAGCCUCAGAAUUAACCAAAUAAGACGCCUAGCUUUACAAAAAAUACCCUUAAUGAAGUUUCAUUCUUGAGAUCUUCAGUUGAUUAAAGGCUUCUUGCUUGCAGGUUCAACUAUCUUCGAUUAUUUUUGCCUCCUUGAGAAUAUGUGCUUUGACUAUUUCUUGCAACUAUCAUAACUGAAGAAAUAUUUAGAGCAAUAAGAUAGAAUUUGUAUCAUCAAAAUAUUUUAAAACAUCAUAGGAUUGACGCCCUAGGGCUUACAAUGGUUACACCCUUACAAAGAGCGGUUUUAGUUCCGGCCAUGGGUUGAUACAUGUCUGCACUUGGAGAUGCAAAUCUAGUCAAAUGGUUCUAGUUCAUUUCAUUAACUUCACUAUGUUUCAAUUCUGUUGGUUGUUGUACGAUUUGAAAUUUGUUCAUUGUUAAAGCACAAUGCAUUUUUUGCUAUAAGAGCGAAUCUACAUAGGCAAGACUGGAAGUCAUAUUUGGGAGAGAAUACGAUAUCAUCCCUAUAAACACCAUCUUGAAAACAUAAACAAGAUGUUGAAAAAUUUAGUUCGGGGAUAUCAAAAGUUAUGCGAGCGACGAGCGCAAAUUCAACAACAUAAACAUUUUUACACGUGAUAUUUUCAGUCCGUUAAGUAAAGUGUCGGUUCAUUAAAGGCAACAUGGAGGUGAUUUUUGGCGUCAAAUGCUAUGCGACUGAGGACGGAAUAUAAUUAGCAAGCCGAAGAUGGUUGUUCCAUCAAAAUAGUAUACGCAUGGCAUGCGAGGCAUGAUCUUCCCCAUCUACCGUUACUUUUCCUAUUCUAAUUCAUUACAGCGUAUUACGCUCAUUGGAGGAGGUGGUCUAUGCACGUAUGAAUAAAAGGCGUACGAGCCAAUAGGACAUCCACGUGGUGAUGAAUUAGAUGGGAAUGGAUAUACCGGAUGCCGACCCGAGAGCAUAUGAGAGACAGAUUAUCGAUAGAACGGAUCCUCUCAAAGAUCGUUUGCGAGCCCCUUCGUACAACUGGAAAUAGCGGGCCCGAACUAAAGGCAGAGAUAAAGCAAAGUAGACGUCACUUACUCUUUUUCGUCUUUCGAACAUGCAUCCACUUCAAGAUCUAGGGUCAUCCAUCGAGACGACCAUUCGCGAUCCUCCCAUCUAUGAUACCUACAUUGAGAAAUUACUUUGUGGGCUUUGCAGCGUUUUAUUUCCUCACACCUAUUACGUUCAAACCUAAUGGUCAUGUGGAUUGAGCGAUAGUAUCACUCAUUUAGUUAUGGUGAAGGAGUGGUCUUAAGUACGAUUCGAACUUAUGGAAUGAUUCAACAAAAUAAGAUUUACAUGUUACCUUUAUCCAGAUCAAAAAUUUGGUGCCAAUCUAUAUUCUCACUGAUUUGGUUCAAACUGUGGGCACCAUAGAUGGAUUGGAUCCUAAUACUUUUGGAAUUGUCAUCGCGCAUUAAGGUACACUCUAGUACUAUAUACAUUUAGUGAGAAUAUGGUAGUUGUUUUACGCACUUGCCUUAAGGACUAUUCCUCCAGUUGAAAAUAUCAAGAGCUUGAGAAAUAGUUUUGCCCAUGGUUGGCAAUCAUUUCAUGCAAGUUUUUUACACCCUCGUUAUCUCUAUACCACAAAUUCGCAAUUAUUUGGUGGCAACAGCAGCAUACAACGCUAAAGGAUGAGUUGCUUCGUUAUGUGACACGUGUUCUUGUGGACGAAAGUAAUAGGUAACACUCACCAAAAGAUUCUGGUGAAUCAAGAAUUUGGAUGCAAUAUUGAUUAGAAUUUAUAUUUGUAUAUAUUUUCGUAUAUCUAUUUUUUUGGUAUUAUUACAUAUACUCUUUCCUAAAAAUGAGUAAAUCAAUAUUGGUCCAUAUUUUGAUCCAUAUUUUUAUACUUUUAAAAAUUUUAUAAAUAAUGACUCUCAAAAUCUACAACUAAAAAAUAAACAAAAGAUUUCAAAUAUAUAAUACAAAAAUUGUUUAUCCAAAUAAAAAAUGAUAAAGAAAAUAAAAAAAAGAACUGAUUAAAAUAAAUAAUAAAAAAUAUAUAAGUAAUUGAUUAAAAAUAUUGAUUAAACAAAAACACUAAGUGAAAAACAAAAAACUAAAAAAUAAAAAUACACAAAACAUAAAAAAAAAAAAAAAGCAAGAGUAAAUGCACAAGGUUAAAUUUGUGCUGCCUGGGGGCUUGUUUUUUUUUUUGAGAGGGGGUGGGGGGUGGGGUGGUUUGGGUUCGCGGUUGAAGCAGGACCCUAAAAUAAUUACACCCCUUUGGAACCAAAGUCGUACAUGUCUUUUUUUUUUUUUUUUCAUAGUUAAUUGAGGUGCCAACAAUGGCGACAAAAUAACCUUGCAUAAAGUGUUAAAUGAAUUUCACGGAAAUUUCUUUCGUUGUUGACCUAAAGAAAUAUCCUUAGCAAGAAUUAAAACUGGAUAAUUGAACACAAUAUAUUUCCCCAUAGAACACACAGUCAAAUUCAUCGUUUGCAUCGCCAUGAAGACAUCUCUUCAAAUGGUUGCAAGAAUUAAACUGGAUACUUGGAACACAAUAUAUUUCACCCAUAGACACACCAGAUCAAAUUCAUCGUUUGACAAUCCCAUGAAGCAUCUCUUUCAAAUGGUUGCAAUCUUCUCCUUUGCCUUUCCACUAGCACCAUUGAUUUGCGGUAUCUGGCAAUGCAGCCAUGAUGUGGUUUGCCCGAUAGAGAGAAACAAGCUCUUUUAAAUUUAAGCUUCAAGCAAGAUCUCAAAGAUCCUUCAGAACCCGACUCUCGUCGGUGGACCGGUCGACGAGAUUGCUUGCAAGUGUGCAGGUUUUGUUUGCGACAACUUAACCGUACCAUGUUUCUCGCUCUCCACCAAAAAUUCUAAAUCCUCCCUUUUUCUUAUCCUGAUACCUUCCUUGGGAAGGUGAAAUAAUCCAAACUUUUUGCUAAUCUACAGCAAAACCUCUAACUACCCCGACCUCGAUUUAAGUGUGAAAUGAUUUCCCAAGGAAACCAUCCACAUCCUUCAUUGGAUCUCUAGCAUCUGCAAUCUCAACUUGUCCGUAUGCAGAUUUGAGGGAACCAUUCCUCAUCAACUUGGAAACCUCCCGGGUUUUUACUUUUUCUAAUCUUAAGCGAAAUGGUGUGACGACCCUUCAUGGCUUCUCGGUCUUUCCGGGGCCGGGGGGGGGUUUGAAACCUUAAACCGUAUGUGGAUUGGAAUACCUUUACGAGUUGAUCACACUGGUCGUACAUGUAAUUAAACAUCUCCCUAUCCUUGGUUGAGUUACACUUGGUCUGCUGUCAAACUUGAUCACAUACCACCACUAACCGGCGUUAAUUUUAUCCCUCACUUGCCAUACUAAGAUCUUUCCAAAAUUACUUUCGUCAUUUGAAUUUCCCUAGGUGGAUUAUUCCAGUCUUAGUAGCCUCGUUUUCUGACCUGAAUAGGAUGUUUGUCGUCCAUUUCCUACGUACAACCGAACACGACCCUUCGUUAGGUAGCUUGAUCUACUUGGGGGCAUGAUCUCAUGUACGAUUAUAGUUGGCUGUAUAGCUUUAGUCGUCUUGAGUCCUCGACCUAAGCUCCAAUCAGUUGGAGGUGGAAUAUCAACAAGGAUUGGAAACCGAGUUGUCUCAUAAGCCUCAAACUAUCAUAUAAUAACCUCGGGGGAAGGCU
rnacentral:lncRNA from 1 species